rnacentral:rRNA from 1 species
GACGAACGCUGGCGGCGUGCUUAACACAUGCAAGUCGAGCGGUAAGGCCCUUUCGGGGGUACACGAGCGGCGAACGGGUGAGUAACACGUGGGUGACCUGCCUCUAGCUCUGGGAUAAGCCCGGGAAACUGGGUCUAAUACUGGAUAUGACUCCAUGACGCAUGUUGUGGGGUGGAAAGCCUUGUGCGGCUAGAGAUGGGCCCGCGGCCUAUCAGCUUGUUGGUGGGGUGANGGCCUACCAAGGCGACGACGGGUAGCCGGCCUGAGAGGGCGACCGGCCACACUGGGACUGAGACACGGCCCAGACUCCUACGGGAGGCAGCAGUGGGGAAUCUUGCGCAAUGGGCGAAAGCCUGACGCAGCGACGCCGCGUGAGGGAUGACGGCCUCGG